GACGAACGCUGGCGGCGUGCUUAACACAUGCAAGUCGAGCGGCGCGGCGAACGGGUGAGUAACGCGUGAGUAACUGCCCCCCUCUCUUGGAUAACAGUUGUAAACGGCUGCUAAUACCGGAUAGUGGGGGGUGACUCGCGUCCUAUAAGCUUGUUGGUGGGGUAGUGGCCUACAAAGGCGACGACGGGUAGCUGGCCUGAGAGGGCGACCGGCCAAGUUGGGCUGAGAGACGGCCCAAACGCCUACGGGCGGCAGCAGUGGGGAAUAGUGCACAAUGGUGGAAACCCUGAUGAAGAAACGCCGCGGGCGGGAGGACGGCCUUCGGGUUGUAAACCGCUUUCAGCCAUGACGCGGUAGUGGCAGAAGAAGCACCGGCUAAAUACGUGCCAGCCGCCGCGGUAAUAC
rnacentral:rRNA from 1 species